AACGAACGCAGGCGGCGUGGAUAAGACAUGCAAGUCGAGCGAGAUUUUUUCUGGUAGCAAUACGAGGAAAAGUCUAGCGGCGAACGGGUGCUUAACACGUGGGCAACCUGCCAAGAAGUGGGGGAUAGCUCGCCGAAAGGCGAAUUAAUACCGCAUGUGAUCAGAGUGGACAUCCAUUCAAAAUUAAAGUCGGGGCAACCUGACGCUUCUUGAGGGGCCCGCGGCCUAUCAGCUAGUUGGUGAGGUAACGGCACACCAAGGCUUUGACGGGUAGCUGGGCUGAGAGGACGACCAGCCACACUGGGACUGAGACACGGCCCAGACACCUACGGGUGGCAGCAGUCGAGAAUUUUUCUCAAUGGGGGAAACCCUGAAGGAGCGACGCCGCGUGGAGGAUGAAGGUCUUCGGAUUGUAAACUCCUGUCAUUGGGGAACAAUGCGUAAAUAUUAAUUGUAUUUGCGUUGAUAGUACCCGAAGAGGAAGAGACGGCUAACUCUGUGCCAGCCGCCGCGGUAA
rnacentral:rRNA from 1 species